rnacentral:rRNA from 1 species
GACGAACGCUGGCGGUGUGCUUAACACAUGCAAGUGGUGCGACGAACCAGAGCUUGCUCUGGGGCAAAGCCGCGAACGGGUGAGUAACACGUGGGUAAUCUACCCCGAUGACCGGGACAACCCGAGGAAACUCGGGCUAAUACCGGAUGUGGUGCGGAGACAUAAGUCUCUUCACUAAAGGUGGCUUCGGCUUCCGCAUUGGGAGGGGCCCGCGGCCCAUUAGCUUGUUGGUGGGGUCAAGGCCUACCAAGGCAACGAUGGGUAGCUGGUCUGAGAGGACGAUCAGCCACACUGGGACUGAGACACGGCCCAGACUCCUACGGGAGGCAGCAGUGGGGAAUCUUGCGCAAUGCGCGAAAGCGUGACGCAGCAACACCGCGUGAGGGAAGAAGGCCUUAGGGUUGUAAACCUCUUUCAGAUGGGACGAAGGUUCUCCGGUGAAUAGCCGAGAGGAUUGACGGUACCGUCAGAAGAAGCUCCGGCUAACUACGUG